rnacentral:rRNA from 1 species
AUUGAACGCUGGCGGCAGGCCUAACACAUGCAAGUCGAGCGGAGCGGCGGACGGGUGAGUAAUUCCUAGGCAUCUGCCUGGUAGUGGGGUAUCACGUCCGGAAACGGGCGCUAAUACCGCAUACUAUCAGAUGAGCCUAGGUCGGAUUAGCUAGUUGGUGGGUUAAAGGCCCACCAAGGCGACGCUUCCUAGCUGGUCUGAGAGGAUGACCAGCCACACCGGAACUGAGACACGGUCCAGACCACUCUGGGAGGGAGCAGUGGGGAAUAUUGCACAAUGGGCGCAAGCCUGAUGUAGCCAUGCCGAGUGUAUGAAGAAGGCAUUCUGGUUGGAAAGUACUUUCAGUGGGGAGGCGUUACCCGCAGAAGAAGCACCGGCUAACUCCGUGCCAGCAGCCGCGGUAAUAC